AAGUGUUCACAACGCAAAACAACUGUCCCCGAGCUCUCUCUCUCGUGUGUGUGUGCGCGAUCGGUGUUUACAGCCCUCGCCCGCCGGUGGCGCCCCCUCUGGCGCGCCUCCCCGCGCAACCUCGACGACGCCCGCCUCCCCAGAUGGUCCUGGGAAUGCAUCUCCAAGAUCCUCGCCGAGCACCGCGGCCCUGGCCGCCGCCUCUGCCUCCGCCACCUCAGCCGGCAGGGCAGCAUCGCCGAUCUCGCAGAGUGGAUCCGAUCUCCCGCCCUCGACAACCUCGAGGAGAUCCAUAUCUCUUACCGAUACGACCUUCUGCUGCCGCCGUGCGCCCUCCGCUUCGCGCCGACCCUCCGCGUCGCCAGCUUCGCCCGCUGCCGUUUCCCCAAGGACAUUUCCGCGACCCUCGCAUUCCCGCAUUUGACGCGGCUCGCCCUCACCGAGGUCGAGAUCUCCGAGGAUGCCCUCCACGGCCUGCUCUCCGCCUGUUCCGCGCUCAGGGUGCUCCAGCUGGAUUGGUGCAGCGGCUUCGACCGAGUGGUCAUCAACUCGCCGACCCUCCAGAGCUUCGGCAUUGUCGCGGACAGCUACGUGGGCGAGCUGGUCAUACACUAUGCUCCUCGCCUGGAGAGAUUGAUUGCAUUUGAUAAUUUUGACAUCCAGGUGAUCAGAGCGCCUAGACUGCAGAUGGCUUGCUUUCUGGACAGCCACAAGACUACACUCCAUGUUGGAACCAUGGCUUCUCGGGGAAUUUCUGGCGGAAACUUGGCAACGUCACUGCACAGCGUGAAGAUUUUCAUUCUUGAUACUGUUGGUCCUGAUCUUGAUGCAGUUCUAAACUUCAUCAAAUACUUUCCUUGCUUGGAGAAGCUCGUCAUCACGUUAUACCUGGAAGUUGAUCUGAAAAAGAAAAAUGUACGCCAUCUUAACCCACAAGAUCGCAUUGAAUGUCUUGACCUCAGUCUCAAAGAAGUAGUGCUGAAGGGUUACGAGGGCAAGCGGUCGGAUCUUAACUUUGCCAAGUUCUUUGUUCUGAAUGCUAAGGUGCUUGAGUCAAUGGAACUCCGUGUCCAGGAUAACACAUUCACCAGGAGAUGGGAAACUAAUCAGCGUAGGCGGCUACAACUGGAUAGCAGGGCUUCUAGAAAUGCUGGGUUUGAGUUUGGAGAAGCUUAUCCGUUCACUACAUUUGCAUGCAGCAAUCAUGCUCAUGUUUUGACCAUGGCUGAUCCUGUUGGUACCUCUUGCGGAGUUUGUGGGCAUACUGAUUGA
rnacentral:rRNA from 1 species